rnacentral:rRNA from 1 species
AGCCGACGAUCAGGAGCCGACCUGUGAGGGUGACCGGCCACACUGGGACUGAGACACGGCCCAGACUCCUACGGGAGGCAGCAGUAGGGAAUUUUCGGCAAUGGGCGCAAGCCUGACCGAGCAACGCCGCGUGAGUGAUUAAGGCCUUCGGGUUGUAAAGCUCUGUUGUAAGGGAAGAACAUUCAGGAUAGGAAAUGAUCUUGAACUGACGGUACCUUACCAGAAAGCCACGGCUAACUACGUGCCAGCAGCCGCGGUAAUACGUAGGUGGCAAGCGUUAUCCGGAAUUAUUGGGCGUAAAGGGUGCGUAGGCGGUUUAUUAAGUCUAUGGUGAAAGUGCGGGGCUCAACCCCGUAUGGCCAUAGAAACUGGUAGACUUGAGUGCAAGAGAGGGAAGUGGAAUUCCAUGUGUAGCGGUAAAAUGCGUAGAUAUAUGGAGGAACACCAGUGGCGAAGGCGGCUUACUGGACUGUAACUGACACUGAGGCGCGAAAGCGUGGGGAUCAAACAGGAUUAGAUACCCUGGUAGUCCACGCCGUAAACGAUGAGUGCUAGGUGUCGGGGAAAUCGAGUUCUGCAGUUAACGCAAUAAGUAUUCCGCCUGGGGAGUAUGCACGCAAGUGUGAAACUCAAAGGAAUUGACGGGACCCCGCACAAGCGGUGGAGCAUGUGGUCUAAUUCGACGCAACGCGAAGAACCUUACCAAGGCUUGACAUCUUCCAGGAAACACGAGAGUGCCUCUUACGAGGAGCCCGGUGACAGGUGGUGCAUGGUUGUCGUCAGCUCGUGUCGUGAGAUGUUGGGUUAAGUCCCGCAACGAGCGCAACCCUUGUUGCUAGUUACCAGCAUACUGGUGGGCACUCUAAUGGGACUGCCGGAGAUAAUUCGGAGGAAGGUGGGGACGACGUCAAGUCAUCAUGCCCCUUAUGAUUUGGGCUACAAACGUGAUACAAUGGCCGGAACAGAGAGACGCGAAGUGGCGACCUGGAGCAAAACUCACAAAGUACGUCUCAGUUCAGAUUGGAGUCUGCAACUCGACUCCAUGAAGGCGGAAUCGCUAGUAAUCGCGGAUCAGCAUGCCGCGGUGAAUACGUUCUCGGGGUUUGUACACACCGCCCGUCAAACCAUGAGAGUUGGUAAUACCCGAAGCCGGUGGCCUAACCCAGUAAUGGGAGGGAGCCGUCGAAGGUAGGAUCGAUGAUUGGGGUUAAGUCGUAACAAGGUAACCA